CUAUCGGUACCUUGCAAGUAGAGCGUCUACCUUGUAAGCGGAAGGUCGCGGGUUCGAUUCCCGCCCGGUGUG
rnacentral:tRNA from 1 species